GCAUGGACGAAUUCUGUUCCAGCUGUUCUGUGGUGGAUACAGUCAGACACCAUGCAAAAACAUUUCUGAUUUCUGCCUUAUGACUGGAAGAGUGCUUCCCUUUAGCCGCAUCCAGCUGUGCAGGAAUCCGUACAAUG